UACGUAGGGGGCAAGCGUUGUCCGGAAUUAUUGGGCGUAAAGCGCGCGCAGGCGGUCUUUUAAGUCUGGGGUUUAAGUUCGGGGCUCAACCCCGUAUCGCCCUGGAAACUGGGAGACUGGAGUGCAGGAGAGGAAAGUGGAAUUCCACGUGUAGCGGUGAAAUGCGUAGAGAUGUGGAGGAACACCAGUGGCGAAGGCGACUUUCUGGCCUGUAACUGACGCUGAGGCGCGAAAGCGUGGGGAGCAAACAGGAUUAGAUACCCGAGUAGUCC
rnacentral:rRNA from 1 species